rnacentral:rRNA from 1 species
GUGGAUGAGUGGCGAACGGGUGAGUAAUACGUGAGUGACCUGCCUUUGACUCUGGGAUAAGCCUGGGAAACUGGGUCUAAUACCGGAUGCGACUACUGCCCGCAUGGGCUGGUGGUGGAAAGGGUUAUGUACUGGUCUUAGAUGGGCUCACGGCCUAUCAGCUGGUUGGUGGGGUAAUGGCCUACCAAGGCGACGACGGGUAGCCGGCCUGAGAGGGUGACCGGCCACACUGGGACUGAGACACGGCCCAGACUCCUACGGGAGGCAGCAGUGGGGAAUAUUGCACAAUGGGCGCAAGCCUGAUGCAGCGACGCCGCGUGAGGGAUGACGGCCUUCGGGUUGUAAACCUCUUUCAGCAGGGAAGAAGCGGAAGUGACGGUACCUGCAGAAGAAGCGCCGGCUAACUACGUGCCAGCAGCCGCGGUAAUACGUAGGGCGCAAGCGUUGUCCGGAAUUAUUGGGCGUAAAGAGCUCGUAGGCGGCUUGUCGCGUCUGCUGUGAAAGCCCGGGGCUUAACUCCGGGUGUGCAGUGGGUACGGGCAGGCUAGAGUGCAGUAGGGGUAACUGGAAUUCCUGGUGUAGCGGUG